GAUGAACGCUGGCGGCGUGCCUAAUACAUGCAAGUCGAGCGAACGGACGAGAAGCUUGCUUCUCUGAUGUUAGCGGCGGACGGGUGAGUAACACGUGGAUAACCUACCUAUAAGACUGGGAUAACUUCGGGAAACCGGAGCUAAUACCGGAUGAUAUUUUGAACCGCAUGGUUCAAAAGUGAAAGACGGUCUUGCUGUCACUUAUAGAUGGAUCCGCGCUGCAUUAGCUAGUUGGUAAGGUAACGGCUUACCAAGGCAACGAUGCAUAGCCGACCUGAGAGGGUGAUCGCCCACCUGGGAAGUGAGACAGGGCCCAGACUCCGGGGGGAGGACGCAGUAGGGAAUCUUCCGCAAGGGGGGAAAGCCUGACGGUGCAACGCCGCGGGAGUGAUGAAGGUCUUCGGAUCGGAAAACUCUGUUAUUAGGGAAGAACAAAUGUGUAAGUAACUGGGCACAUCUUGACGGUACCGAAUCAGAAAGCCACGGCUAACUACGUG
rnacentral:rRNA from 1 species